UACGAAGGGGGCUAGCGUUGUUCGGAAUCACUGGGCGUAAAGCGCACGUAGGCGGAUCUUUAAGUCAGGGGUGAAAUCCCGAGGCUCAACCUCGGAACUGCCUUCGAUACUGGGAAGCUCGAGUCCGGGAGAGGUGAGUGGAACUGCGAGUGUAGAGGUGAAAUUCGUAGAUAUUCGCAAGAACACCAGUGGCGAAGGCGGCUCACUGGCCCGGUACUGACGCUGAGGUGCGAAAGCGUGGGGAGCAAACAGG
rnacentral:rRNA from 1 species